rnacentral:misc_RNA from 1 species
GACCUCAAUUCUUUCUUGAAAUCUACAAAAUUUAACACCAGCUACAUCCAGUGACAAAAAUGUGAAAGAAAAAGAAUGAAAACACUAAAACAAAGAUUUACUCUAACACUAAAACAAAGAUUUAAUCUGACAAGGGUCGAAUUAUGACAUGUGAGGGAGUAAAGCAAAAGGGGCAUAACAUAUUGAAGGACCCAAUUCAGCAGUAUUCAGUUAGCUGUCAAUAAUCCUUCAUCAAUCAACGCCAAUACUCAAUACUUUCACCAAAUUCCAAAAUUUAAGCAAAAUUAGA